GCGGUUAUAAAUCAACAUAUUGAUUUAUAAGCAUGGAAAUCCCCUGAGUGAAACAACGAAUUGCUGUGUGUAGUCUUUGCCCAUCUCCCACGAUGGGCUUUUUUUUAA
rnacentral:other from 1 species